AUGCAGCGGUCAGGUGACUGUGACUCAGCCUCCAGUACUCACAACUACUCCAGAAUCCACUGUCAGGAUCUCCUUGAUUUGUCGUCGUACAAAAACCUCCCUCAGUCAGACUGCAGAGACUCUGAGCUGUUACAGCAGGAACCGACUGCAGCUGCUGAAGAGGAAGAGACUCUGACACAGACCACUGAACACAGAGCUGACAAGUUUAAGUUCUUCUGUCACAGAGAGUCUGAACUGUUUUCAUGCACUCACACUGAAAACUGCAUCAGGAUGAUGUUGCCAAUAACUCUGCUGGUCAUGUUGGGUUUUCUGACUCAGGGAUCUUCUGCCAACAAAUUUCUGACUCAGACUGACAAAUCCAAGUCUGUCAGUCUUGGAGGGACGGUGACCAUCAGCGCCACAGGGAGUUCAGACAUUGGUGAUGAUCUCAGUUGGUACCUUCAGAAACCUGGACAAGCUCCCAAACUUCUUAUAUACGAUGUAGACGCUCACUUCUCAGGAACUCCGUCUCGAUUCAGUGGCAGUAGAUCUGGUUCUCACUACACUCUGACCAUCAGUGGUGUUCAGGGUGAAGAUGUUGGAGAUUACUACUGUCUGGGCUACCAUAGUGAUGGUACGUUCACACAGUGA